rnacentral:rRNA from 1 species
GACGAACGCUGGCGGCGUGCCUAAUACAUGCAAGUAGAACGCACAGUUUAUACCGUAGCUUGCUACACCAUAGACUGUGAGUUGCGAACGGGUGAGUAACGCGUAGGUAACCUGCCUGGUAGCGGGGGAUAACUAUUGGAAACGAUAGCUAAUACCGCAUAAUAUUAAUUAUUGCAUGAUAAUUAAUUGAAAGGUGCAAUUGCACCACUACCAGAUGGACCUGCGUUGUAUUAGCUAGUAGGUGAGGUAACGGCUCACCUAGGCGACGAUACAUAGCCGACCUGAGAGGGUGAUCGGCCCAACUGGGACUGGGACACCGCCCAGACUCCUACGGGAGGCAGCAGUAGGGAAUCUUCGGCAAUGGACGGAAGUCUGACCGAGCAACGCCGCGUGAGUGGAGAAGGUUUUCGGAUCGUAAAGCUCUGUUGUAAGAGAAGAACGGGUGUGAGAGUGGAAAGUUCACACUGUGACGGUAUCUUACCAGAAAGGGACGGCUAACUACGUG